rnacentral:rRNA from 1 species
GNACCGGGAACGCUUGGGAUUUUGAUCUGGGCUUCNCNNGCNAGUCCNGGAACCCUACAAGUUUGNUUUUGGCUCGGGUGGGACGGGUAUCNCCNAGAAUUUUGUUCUGGAAGUGGUGNAAAANNAGGUAAACNCGGAUUUUAGUGCCGGAUAGCGGCGGACGGNUGAGUAACGCUUGGGCAACCUACCCUUAAGACCGGGAUAACACCUCGAAAGGGGUGCUAAUACUGGAUAAGCUCCUUGUAGGGCAUCCUAUGAGGAGGGAAGGUAGCGGAAGCUACCGCUUAAGGAUGGGCCCGCGUCCCAUCAGCUAGUUGGUAGGGUAACGGCCUACCAAGGCGACGACGGGUAGCCGGCCUGAGAGGGUGGUCGGCCACACUGGGACUGAGACACGGCCCAGACUCCUACGGGAGGCAGCAGUGGGGAAUCUUGCGCAAUGGGCGAAAGCCUGACGCAGCGACGCCGCGUGAGCGAAGAAGGCCUUCGGGUCGUAAAGCUCGAUAGUGUGGGAAGAAUAGAUGACGGUACCACACGAAAGCCCCGGCUAACUACGUGCCAGCAGCCGCGGUAAGACGUAGGGGGCGAGCGUUGUCCGGAAUUACUGGGCGUAAAGGGCGCGUAGGCGGCCACUUAAGUCAGGUGUAAAAAACCCGGGCUCAACCCGGGGGGAUGCACAUGAAACUGGGUGGCUAAAGGGCAGGANAGGGGAGUGGAAUUNCCNGGUGUANCGGUGAAAUGCGUAAAUAUCGGGAAGAAUACCAGUGGCGAANGCNAACCUCUGGACUGACCCUGACCCUGAGGCCCNAAAAGCGUGGGGANCAAAAAGGAUNANAUACCUNGGUAGUCCCNCCCNUAAACAAUGGGUACUAGGGGUGGGAUGCGNAACUUNCCUGCNGUANUUANCCAAUAAUUCCCCCCCUGGGGNAACGGCCCAAGUNAAACCAAAGANUNNCNGGNCCCCCAAACGNGGAACUGGNUUUUU